rnacentral:rRNA from 1 species
AGCCUGAUGCAGCCAUGCCGCGUGUAUGAAGAAGGCCUUCGGGUUGUAAAGUACUUUCAGCAGUGAGGAAGGUAGAGUGUUAAUAGCACAUUAUUUGACGUUAGCUGCAGAAGAAGCACCGGCUAACUCCGUGCCAGCAGCCGCGGUAAUACGGAGGGUGCGAGCGUUAAUCGGAAUUACUGGGCGUAAAGCGCAUGCAGGUGGAUGAUUAAGUCAGAUGUGAAAGCCCGGGGCUCAACCUCGGAAUAGCAUUUGAAACUGGUCAUCUAGAGUACUGUAGAGGGGGGUAGAAUUUCAGGUGUAGCGGUGAAAUGCGUAGAGAUCUGAAGGAAUACCGGUGGCGAAGGCGGCCCCCUGGACAGAUACUGACACUCAGAUGCGAAAGCGUGGGGAGCAAACAGGAUUAGAUACCCUGGUAGUCCACGCCGUAAACGAUGUCUACUUGGAGGUUGUGGCCUUGAGCCGUGGCUUUCGGAGCUAACGCGUUAAGUAGACCGCCUGGG